GAUCUUGCGACAAUGUGCGAAAGCCUGACGCAGCAACGCCGCGUGCGUGAGGACGGCCNUCGGAUNGNAAACCGCUUUUCGGGAGNCAGAUGAAGGACGGUACCCCCGGAAGAAGUCUCGGCUAACUACGUGCCAGCAGCCGCGGUAAAACGUAGGAGGCGAGCGUUAUCCGGAUUUACUGGGUGUCAAGCGCGUGUAGGCGGUCCUGCAAGUGGUGAGUGAAAGCGCCUGGCUCAACCGGGCGAAGACGUGGGCGAACUGAAGGGCUAGAGGCAGGUAGAGGCGUGUGAAAAUCCGGGUGUAGUGGUGAAAUGCGUAGAGAUCCGGAGGAACACCAGUGGAGAAGGCGACACGCUGGGCCUGGCCUGACGCUGAGAAGCGAAAGCAUGGGGAGCGAACGGG
rnacentral:rRNA from 1 species